UCUCUCUGUUUUAAUUGUGCUGUAAUUAGAACGAUCCAAGCUAACAAUAUUUUUUUUAAAGUGCGCUAGUAUCAUCAGCAAGAAGCUGGGGGGGGAGAGCAAAACCCGAGGAAAGGCUUUGGGAUGGGGCGGGGACCUGGGGAGGUUCCUGAGGCAAGGGGUAUCCCUAGGCCGGAGGGUCCCUGGGGCAAAGGCGGGGUCCCUGGCAGGGGUGUCUCUGGGGCAGGGAGUCCCUGGGCAGGGGUCCCUGGACAAGGGGAGCGUGGAGCCGCGGGCCGGGGGCGCGUUGCUGGGGCUGCACCGCCCCGCCGUGGCCGCGGCCACCCCUGCAGCUCCGCCGCUGCCCCUGGAUGGAGCCUGGAGGCAGAAGGCCCCGUAGGUCCCCACCAAGGGGUUGUCACCCGAGCGGUGGCCCCUGAGGAGCGACGGGGAGAGAGGUGCCCCCUACAAGCAAGUCGGGGUCCCGCGGGGGGUGCGGCGCGGCUGCCACCGCGUCCUUUUCUGCCCCACUGCGACCAUGGUCCGGUUCUGUCGGGUCAGGCAAUUCUCCGUGAGCCAGGAAACAUCACACCACCCAAUAUUGCUGGGACACCCCCACGCUGGCUGCUGGGUGCAGCUCCCCAGGCCCCUCAGAGCGCCCUUCCUCCCCACACCCCAGAGCACGAAGAGGAGGAGGAGGAUAGAAAUGGCUUCUGCACAACCACCAGCUCUGCAGAGCACCAGCCCCAGCGUGCGAAGAGGGCAGGAGGGUGAAAGCAGCAGAGGAAACCACCAGCAGAAGACAAGAGGUACCAGGGGAUGUUACUCCCGGCCCCUCUUGCCAAGUUGCUCUGCUUAAACUGAGCCAGAGAUGCAGGGUGGCUGCCUACCUCCAACUUGUUGCCAGAGGAUGGAGGCUGCAGGUGCUAUGAGUUUGUGUGGGCUCUGAAGAGGUUUAGAUGUGCUCAAAGAGGAGAAGGGGCAGAAUCCAAAGAGCCAAAACGCCAGAGCCCAUGAGGAUGGUGGCAGUGAGAAGCAGUGACAGACAGGGGGUCACUCCACUCUUCGUUUUCCACAUCUAUCUGUUGUUGCUCAGAGCAGGCGCAGCUGCCCUCAGCCAACACGGGGAGGCUGCUCUUAAAUAAAAUAAAGAGGCAAAAAGAUGUGGGGGUGGCACUCUGUCAUGCUGGAAGCAAACACAAAGCCAGAUUCCAAAGUUCUGUAUUUUUCAAAAUAAAGAUCACACAUUGUUUAGAGACAAUCUACACAAGAGUUACAAAAAAUAGUCGCCCAGGCAUAAGCAUACACAGGUUUGUUAAUUAUACACAUAUGGUUACAAGUGUGCUUGCAAAAAAGUUCAUUGGAAAUAUACACAAGGCUCUGUAAAUGUACACCGCGUAGUGUUACAAUUCUAUAUUCAAACAAGGAAAAUUGACAGUAUGUUACAUUCACUUACAAGUAGACAAAAUGCAAAAUACAGUUCAUCUUCUGUACAAAAAGGGAAGGUGAUUCACACUUUACAAGGUGAAAAGGGACUCUGAUUGUAAGGAAAACUAGGGGAUCCUGUACUUUUGCACUUUUUGUUUCUUACUGUCACAAAAUAAGCAAAACAUUACUUUUUAAGAGUCAAAAAAACACUAUUUUGAACUGAAUAAUUUUUGUAUAACAUUUAGAAAGGAUUGCUACUGUUCAACUAGGUGACAAAUAAAACCAAGCAUUUAUUUUUUUUUUAAACAUUAACUAGGCUGUAUAAAGAGAACAUUUCCUUCAAAAGAAAAAAUUUACUUCUGGUUGAAAUUACAAUUUACAAUAUACAACACUAUAUG